AACGAACGCUGGCGGCAUGCCUAACACAUGCAAGUCGAACGAUGCCUUCGGGCAUAGUGGCGCACGGGUGAGUAACGCGUGGGAAUCUGCCUUUCGGUUCGGAAUAACUCAGGGAAACUUGAGCUAAUACCGGAUAACGUCGCAAGACCAAAGAUUUAUCACCGAAAGAUGAGCCCGCGUAGGAUUAGCUAGUUGGUGAGGUAAAGGCUCACCAAGGCGACGAUCCUUAGCUGGUCUGAGAGGAUGAUCAGCCACACUGGGACUGAGACACGGCCCAGACUCCUACGGGAGGCAGCAGUGGGGAAUAUUGGACAAUGGGCGAAAGCCUGAUCCAGCAAUGCCGCGUGAGUGAUGAAGGCCUUAGGGUUGUAAAGCUCUUUUACCCGGGAAGAUAAUGACGGUACCGGGAGAAUAAGCCCCGGCUAACUCCGUG
rnacentral:rRNA from 1 species